GUGGUGCGGAGCUCCUGUUUGACGGUAUUAAGAAACAUCGAGUCACUUUGCCUGGACAGGAGGAACCCUGGGACAUCCGGAACCUGCUCAUCUGGAUCAAGAAGAAUUUGCUAAAAGAGCGGCCAGAGUUGUUCAUCCAGGGAGACAGCGCGGCCAGGAAUUCUGGUGCUGAUUAACGAUGCCGACUGGGAGCUACUGGGUGAGCUGGACUACCAGCUUCAGGACCAGGACAGCGUCCUCUUCAUCUCCACUCUGCACGGCGGCUGAGGGCCCUUCUCUGGGCCUGGGCACCCUUAGAGGGGAGAACGAAGCAAUCAGACAUCCCCUUGGGCCCUGCUUCCAGGUCUCCCUGUCCCCCUUGCCUGCCUUCUUCCCUGCUCUGUCCCCUAAGCUCCCUCCAGGCAGGGAAAAGAGGCCAGGUGCUAAAAAUGAGCCUUUCUCAAGCACGUGAGCAGCGGAAGGCAGACAGGCGCCAGAGCCCAGCACUCCCUUUUCCAGCAGCUGUGGUGGGGGAGGGUUCCCCUCCAGUUUGUCAAGAGUUGAAGGAGGCUCUGUGGCCAGGUGACCUGGCUGCCUUCCACUCCUUGUACCUCAGUCUAAACAUGGAGUGGCCGCUGACAAGGCGCUCCAGCCCCAGAGCCAGCGUCUUCAUGGGGAAGAUGAAUGGACCUGAGUAGCUGAAGGAAGGCCCCUCCCUACCCAAAGACUGGAGGCUUCUCAGCCUCAAUUUCCCUGUCUGUACAGCUGAGGGCUCUGCCUGUCCCCCACUGCUAUCAGUAUGGAACCCCAGCUGGGGUCCCCUAUUGAGUGCCGACUCCCCCCACCGCCAGCAGCUGCUCCUCCAGCCACACCCCUCCUGCUCCCCCCACCCCUAGCCCUUGACCCUGGCUGGCCUGCCCCGCUCCACAGGCCACCAGAUGGGCUCCUGAGACCCUCCCCAGGCUGCUUACAGCUCAUUCUGCUGGGGGUAGAGAUGAGGGGAGGGAGUAAGUUAAACCUUGGACUAGCAAGUAGAAGCCUGGGGGGAUGCGUGUGCCUCAGUUUCCUCCUCCACAACUGAAUAUAGUGGCUGAAAACUGGGGAGAUACUUGAUGGCGCGAAUGUCCGUUUUCUCUCCCUUCCCACCUCCUGCAGGAAGCAGGACGGGGCAGGCAGCACCUGGUAGGCACAGUGCUUUGCCCCUCCUCCCCUUCCCUUCUGGAAGUCUUGGGGCCUCAGUGCUUGCAACAGCCGGCCUUGGGCAAAUAAAAGACUAGGUUGUUUACU
rnacentral:lncRNA from 10 species